UUCAAAGAACAGCAGUACUUCAGCAACUAGGAGUAUGAAAUGAAAUGACAAAAAAAGUUCCGAAAUGUCUACCGAUCAUAGCGUGGGACAGAUAUGGAAUGAGCAAACAGCGAGAGUUGCUGAGAAAUUUCACAGUCCUGUGUACAAGUAAUUUCAAAUGAUUCAGCAAUCUUCGAAAGAAGAACGUGAUUCGAGACAUAUUAGAUUAAAUAUUCUGUUCAAGCAGCUCAUGAUAAAGCAGCACAAAAUGGCCGAGGACUCCCCGUAUGGUGCAGCAGGACAUGGCUGGCAGUCGUUAGAAAGCUUGGGAAAUAUUUGAUUAAUGUAUUAGUCACAAGUAGAACAAAAGUAGCUCUGUAGGCCCAAGAUUACAGAACUGAAAUAGACAUGCAAAUGUAGUUUAUAGAUUUGUUGCAGUGUGGAAACAAAUCCUUCGGCCCAACAAGCCCGUACCAAUCCUCCAAAGAGUGAACCACCCAGACACAACCCCCUAUCCUAUUGUCCUAUAUUUCCUGUUGAACAAUGCACCUCACCUACGCAUCC